rnacentral:rRNA from 1 species
UACGGGGGGAGCAAGCGUUGUUCGGAUUUACUGGGCGUAAAAGGCGCGUAGGCGGCGCAACAAGUCACUUGUGAAAUCUCCGGGCUUAACCCGGAGCGGUCAAGUGAUACUGUCGUGCUAGAGUGCGGAAGGGGCUACUGGAAUUCUCGGUGUAGCGGUGAAAUGCGUAGAUAUCGAGAGGAACACCAAUGGCGAAGGCAGCUCGCUGGGACGGUACUGACGCUGAGACGCGAAAGCGUGGGGAGCAAACAGG